GACAGAGGGUGCAAACGUUGUUCGGAUUUACUGGGCGUAAAGCGCGUGUAGGCGGCUUGGCAAGUCGGAUGUGAAAGCCCACGGCUCAACCGUGGAAGCGCAUCCGAAACUGCUUCGCUCGAGUCUCGGAGAGGAAGGUGGAAUGCUUGGUGUAGAGGUGAAAUUCGUAGAUAUCAAGCGGAACACCGGUGGCGAAGGCGGCCUUCUGGACGAGGACUGACGCUGAGACGCGAAAGCGUGGGGAGCAAACAGG
rnacentral:rRNA from 1 species